CGAAAUAGUGGGAUGACUGGUUCCCCUCAACGAGGAUAAAUCCUGGUCAGCCCGUGGAGGGAAAGAAGACACCUUGGUGUACGGCACACAAAUAAAUACAUGAUUUUUUUCAUUGUGGAAAAUAUCAUUUUUGGCGUUUGUAUGGUUGUGCGUACGCACAGAAAAAAUCGUAGCGUGGCCUGAUACAUACGUACACCUCUAUAUAUGUGUGUGUGUAAAUGUACGUACAGGCACCAUUCACCACCAUUCAUCAAUGCCGUUGCCGUCCCAUAUCAUCGACCGAUGCAUAUGCCGUUAUCCCACGCAAAAAAAAAUGUACACACACUUGCAUGAAGUGUUUCGUUCCCCUUUUCACACCGAUGGGAACAUUGAAAACAUGAACAUGGCCCUGAGGCAAUUCAAUUGAAAAGAAAGUGAACUCGAGUUUAAAAAAAAUGGAAUAGUUUGUGCCGUACGGAGACAGCCUAAUUCUUCUUCAAUGCACAACCACACGCAACCUCCAAUCGAUGCCCCAGACUAAUGAACAAUUUCUGGCAAGGAAAUUCCGUCUGGCCAGGUAGUGUUAGAGACAUUUAGCAGUGGAAAUAUGCAGCGUUUAGCAGAAUAAAACAUUCCAAUUAAUGUGGCCUUACGCCAUUAAUUGGACAGCAAAACAUUCGCUGGACAUAAGUACUUGGUUUUAGCAUCGUUGAAGUGGUGUGACCUAACUUGAUGAUUAUUACAUCCACCCUGUUCAUAGACAACGUCUGACAGGUAGCAUCAGCUCGAGAUGGAUUGUGGACAACAAAAUUUCCUCUCAACACCUGAUCGUAAACAGUUGCAGCUCAAUGUGCCAUCCAAAACCCAUGGUAAUAAAAAUCGCCGUUUCAUCACCACAUAUUAGAAUGCUCCCUUGGCACUUCGGUUUCUAACACGAUACGGCUGGUUUCACCACAGUAUUAGUAAUUUCGGACUGUAUUUUGGCAUCAACAAUUCAUGGCAUUAAACUUAGCAAUUUUGGCAUCAAAGGUUAUGGCAUAAAACGUUAACAAUUUCGGCAUCAAAGGUUAUGGCAUAAAACAUUAACCGACUUCCCCCCAGGCCAAUACUUGAAGGAGCCAGUAUUUUCUUCGCCUUGGUUGUGGUUAGCUUUGAAUUUGGCGAUAUCUUUAAGGAACAACAAAGAGAAAAAACAUUCACACACAUGCCUAACAUUUAAGCGUUAGUUAUAAUAACUUACAUUGUUUUGCACGCACAAAAUACAUAUGUAUAAGCAACACACAAUCAAUAAAAUAAACGUUCUGUUUACAAUUUAA